GAUCUAUAGUAUCAGUCGGUUAGAAUACCGGCCUGUCACGCCGGGGGUCGCGGGUUCGAGUCCCGUCCGCUGCGCCA
rnacentral:tRNA from 1 species